GCUAACUACGUGCCAGCAGCCGCGGUAAUACGUAGGGCGCAAGCGUUAUCCGGAAUUAUUGGGCGUAAAGAGCUCGUAGGCGGUUUGUCGCGUCUGCCGUGAAAGUCCGGGGCUCAACUCCGGAUCUGCGGUGGGUACGGGCAGACUAGAGUGAUGUAGGGGAGACUGGAAUUCCUGGUGUAGCGGUGAAAUGCGCAGAUAUCAGGAGGAACACCGAUGGCGAAGGCAGGUCUCUGGGCAUUAACUGACGCUGAKGAGCGAAAGCAUGGGGAGCGAACAGGAUUAGAUACCCUGGUAGUCCAUGCCGUAAACGUUGGGCACUAGGUGUGGGGGGCAUUCUACGUUUUCCGCGCCGUAGCUAACGCAUUAAGUGCCCCGCCUGGGGAGUACGGCCGCAAGGCUAAAACUCAAAGGAAUUGACGGGGGCCCGCACAAGCGGCGGAGCAUGCGGAUUAAUUCGAUGCAACGCGAAGAACCUUACCAAGGCUUGACAU
rnacentral:rRNA from 1 species